rfam:Myotis brandtii contig183169, whole genome shotgun sequence.
GGUAGUUCCCGGGUGACACACUCCAGAAUCGGGCUCCCUCCUCUCUAGUUCUGGGUGCGUCACCUGAGAACUGCA